rnacentral:rRNA from 1 species
UUGUACACACCGCCCGUCGCUACUACCGAUUGAAUGGCUUAGUGAGGCUUCCGGAUUGGCUUAGACAGGGGGGCGACUCCCAGUUGGAGCCGAGAAGCUAGUCAAACUUGGUCAUUUAGAGGAAGUAAAAGUCGUAACAAGGUUUCCGUAGGUGAACCUGCGGAAGGAUCAUUACAUUUUUGAAGGAUCUGUGCUGCGAAGCACGAUCUCUCACAUAUACACACUUUGUCUAGACAUAGAUUAUUUGCUUAGGUGGGCGUAUCCGUCCGCCUUUGGCUUUAACCCUAUAAAAAUUUAUAUGAAAAACAUAAUCACAUUAACGAUAAUAAAUAUCAAAACUUUCAACAACGGAUCUCUUGGUUCUCGCAACGAUGAAGAACGCAGCGAAUUGCGAUAAGUAUUGUGAAUUGCAGAUUUUCGUGAAUCAUCGAAUCUUUGAACGCACAUUGCGCCCUGUGGUAUUCCACAGGGCAUGCCUGUUUGAGCGUCAUUUCUCCUUCAAACUUCUAGUUUGGAUUUGGGCUUGGGGAAGCUUUAUACCCAGCCUGAAAUAGUGGGUGAAACAUAUGUCUAUUAGGUUUUACACAAUGAGUUAGGUUCUGCCAGUUCGUUGAAUAAAAUCUAUGUGAAGAUGCUUCAAUACCAGCCCAUUUUAUACCCCCCCAAAUUGACCUCAAAUCAGUAGAUUAACAUAAGCGGAGGAAAAGAAACCAACAGGGAUUGCCUCAGUAACGGCGAGUGAAGCGGCAAAAGCUCAAAUUUGAAAUCUGGCUGCUUUUUUAGUAGUCCGAGUUGUAAUUUGAAGAAUAGAUCCUUGGAGAGGCGCCUUGUCUAUGUUCCUUGGAACAGGACGUCGCAGAGGGUGAGAAUCCCGUUUGGCGAGGUGUGCUGAUCCGUGUAAGGGCUGUUCGACGAGUCGAGUUGUUUGGGAAUGCAGCUCUAAGUGGGUGGUAAAUUCCAUCUAAAGCUAAAUAUUGGCGAGAGACCGAUAGCGAACAAGUACAGUGAUGGAAAGAUGAAAAGAACUUUGAAAAGAGAGUGAAAAAGUACGUGAAAUUGUUGAAAGGGAAGGUUAUUAGAUCAGACUUGGAUUUUUUAUUAUAUUUGUCUCCUUGUGGGGCAUUCACUAAUUUUUAAUCCAGGCCAGCAUCGAUUGGGAUGGCGGGAAAAAGAGGGAGGAACGUGGCUGUGCAUUUAUGUGCAGUGUUUAUAGCCUUUCUUAAUACCGCCUGUCUCGAUCGAGGACUGCGGCAAAUUUAUUU